AAAGAAAAAAAAAAUGCUAUGUCCAAAUUUCCCUAAAAUAAGCAUCAGAAGAAUUAUUCUUUAAAAAAUAGACUUGCGCGACGCUUCUAAUAAGGGAGAUCAGACAGCGGAGGAGAGGAGAGGAGAGGAAAAUGGGUUACGUACUGAGAGUGAGAUUGGCCUCGUUCUUCACGGGGGCUGCAGCGUCGUCGUUUCUGGGGCUCUACAUUCUUCACAGAGAUUACAAGGUUGCCCAGGAGGCCAUUUCCGAACAGGUUAAAGGCAUUACCGAGUCACUGGACAGACGAAUUUCAGCUUUGGAAAAGUUGAAAGAAAAUGAAACCCCCGAACAUGUGGGGCCAACAGAAUAGCUGCCUUAAGACGCACUAUGGCAAUUUGUUGUUGUGGCUCCAAGCAUGAAAUUUCUUACUGCACCCUUUUUGUUUGAGGAAUAAUUACUACUUGCCCUUGUAGCAUUACUCAAUCUGUUGAUGAAAAUAGUCCUCUGAAUUUCACUGUUCA